GAUGGACAAAGACUGUGGGAGUGGCAGCUGCUCUCUGUUUUGGCGCAAGCCUCCUUCCAGAGCAUCUUGCAAAAACAACGAAAUCUGGAAAUCUGUUUCAGUCUAGCCACAGCAGAGGAUGCUUCAUUUGGCAGGUGCUGUGCCACUGAGUUGGUAGCUCCAGCCCCUGAGGAUGAUCCAUUUGGACUGUGUGGACUCUCGGCGGGAGAAUAAGUGUAGGCUGCUUGUACCAUGCAACCCAAGGCCUAGCGGCUUGGCACAACCAAGCUGCUGAAGUCCAGGGGGAUGACAUCCACUGCUGCACAUGACGGGCUGCUGUCUCUGCUGAAGCUCAGGACUUGCCCAAGUAGUGGAAAAGGCAAACUCUGGAAGCCAGAGAACAAGCAGCUCUCCACGGAUUUAAAG